UACGAAGGGGGCUAGCGUUGUUCGGAAUUACUGGGCGUAAAGCGCGCGCAGGCGGUUCUUCAAGUCAGUGGUGAAAGCCCGGAGCUCAACUCCGGAAUUGCCAUUGAAACUGUAGAACUUGAGGAUGAGAGAGGUGAGUGGAAUUCCCAGUGUAGAGGUGAAAUUCGUAGAUAUUGGGAAGAACACCGGUGGCGAAGGCGAGUCUCUGGACAUUUCCUGACGCUGAGGCACGAAAGCCAGGGGAGCAAACGGG
rnacentral:rRNA from 1 species